rnacentral:rRNA from 1 species
AUUGAACGCUGGCGGCAGGCUUAACACAUGCAAGUCGAGCGGGGUGAUGGUGCUUGCACUAUCACUUAGCGGCGGACGGGUGAGUAAUGCUUAGGAAUCUGCCUAUUAGUGGGGGACAACAUCUCGAAAGGGAUGCUAAUACCGCAUACGUCCUACGGGAGAAAGCAGGGGAUCACUUGUGACCUUGCGCUAAUAGAUGAGCCUAAGUCGGAUUAGCUAGUUGGUGGGGUAAAGGCCUACCAAGGCGACGAUCUGUAGCGGGUCUGAGAGGAUGAUCCGCCACACUUGGACUGAGACACGGCCCAGACUCCUACGGGAGGCAGCAGUGGUGAAUAUUGGACAAUGGGGGGAACCCUGAUCCAGCCAUGCCGCGUGUGUGAAGAAGGCCUUAUGGUUGUAAAGCACUUUAAGCGAGGAGGAGGCUCUUUUGGUUAAUACCCAAGAUGAGUGGACGUUACUCGCAGAAUAAGCACCGGCUAACUCUGUGCCAGCAGCCGCCGUAA